AUCCAGCUGACGAGUCUCAAAUAAAACGAAACGCGCGUCCUGGAU
rnacentral:hammerhead_ribozyme from 1 species